GUGAUCAGGUCAAUGACCUUUAGGAUAUGGUCUUGUACGGAUGACUCUUUAGUCAUUCUAGCAUAGAAUAACUGCUUAGAUAUCAUAUAUCUAGCAGUCAUACUCUGUUCUCCAUACAACUCUUUAAGAUUUAAGAGUAUGGAUUAGAUAUCCAUGAUCUCAUACUGUCUCUGUAAUUCAUUACUCAUAGAGGCUAGUAUGAUGC
rnacentral:lncRNA from 1 species